rnacentral:rRNA from 1 species
UGGGGAAUAUUGCACAAUGGGCGAAAGCCUGAUGCAGCGACGCCGCGUGAGGGAUGACGGCCUUCGGGUUGUAAACCUCUUUCAGUAGGGACGAAGCGCAAGUGACGGUACCUGCAGAAGAAGCACCGGCUAACUACGUGCCAGCAGCCGCGGUAAUACGUAGGGUGCGAGCGUUGUCCGGAAUUACUGGGCGUAAAGAGCUCGUAGGCGGUUUGUCACGUCUGCGGUGAAAUCCUAGGGCUUAACCCUGGACGUGCAGGCGAUACGGGCUGACUUGAGUACUACAAGGGAGACUGGAAUUUCUGGUGUAGCGGUGGAAUGCACAGAUAUCAGGAAGAACACCGAUGGCGAAGGCAGGUCUCUGGGUAGUAACUGACGCUGAGGAGCGAAAGCAUGGGUAGCGAACAGG